CCCCACUUUUCCACGCAAUUUUCUGGGCUUGCCUCAGGCGCAAAAGGAACCAACUACAGCUCUGAGAAGCGCUACUUACCCCUCUGGCUUCCCGCUCCUCCCUGGGCUCCUCCAGACUGACUGCGAACAGCACGCACUAUGACCUGACGCUGUACGCAGUCAGGUCACGUAACUGUGCAGCAUGGGCUGUUGGAGACCAGCAGGGAAGGCACUCAGGUCGGGACACCCUGGCGGACAUGGAGAACAGCAGAGCAGGAGAGAGCCCUGACGAAGCGCAUAACUUGUGAUACAGACCGUCGCCCACUGUCUGAACACCCCACAUGAACAUCUACCCACACCCUGCUAAGCCUGCACAGUUGUGAAUAAAGGACAAAGAAGCAGUCAAGCAAGUCCACAACUGUAUAGUCUGAACAACUUUCUCCUGGAAUCCUCACUCCAAGGUACCUUCAUUACCCCAAAGACAUGAUGUCCUAUAUUAGCAGUCAUAUCAUACAGUAUGUUUGCAAAUCAGAACAUUGCAUUUAUUCCCAUA